rnacentral:rRNA from 1 species
AUUGAACGCUGGCGGCAUGCCUAACACAUGCAAGUCGAACGGGCUGUAGCAAUACAGCUAGUGGCGGACGGGUGAGGAAUACAUAGGAAUUUGCCUUUAGGUGGGGGAUAGUCCGGGGAAACUCGGUUUAAUACCGCAUGAUGUCGCAAGACCAAAGCAGGGGAUCGCAAGACCUUGCGCCUUUAGAGAAGCCUAUGUCUGAUUAGCUAGUUGGUAGGGUAAUGGCCUACCAAGGCGACGAUCAGUAACUGGUCUGAGAGGACGAUCAGUCACACCGGAACUGAGACACGGUCCGGACUCCUACGGGAGGCAGCAGUGGGGAAUAUCGGACAAUGGGCGAAAGCCUGAUCCAGCAAUGCCGCGUGUGUGAAGAAGGCCUCGGGUUGUAAAGCACUUUGAUCUGGGAAGAAAAAUGCUUCAGCUAAUAUCUGAAGCCUUGACGGUACCAGAGGAACAAGCACCGGCUAACUCUGUGCCAGCAGCCGCGGUAAUACAGAGGGUGCGAGCGUUAAUCGGAUUUACUGGGCGUAAAGCGUGUGUAGGCAGUUCGUUAAGUCGGAUGUGAAAGCCCUGGGCUCAACCUGGGAAUUGCAUUCGAUACUGGCGAGCUAGAGUACGGUAGAGGGCGGCGGAAUUCCGGGUGUAGCGGUGAAAUGCGUAGAUAUCCGGGAGGAACACCGAUGGCGAAGGCAACCGCCUGGGGCCUGUACUGACGCUGAGACACGAAAGCGUGGGGGAGCAAACAGGAUUAGAUACCCUGGUA